rnacentral:SRP_RNA from 1 species
GCCAGGUGUGGUUGUGCAUGCCUGUGAUCCCAGUUACUCAGGAGGCUGAGGUGAGAGGAUCGCUUGAGCCCGGGAGGUCAAGACUGCAGUGAGCCAUAAUCAUUCCACUGCACUCCAGCCUGGGUGACAGAGUGAUACCCCAUCUCAA